UCGGACUCGGUGAUGAUUCCAUGCAGUUAAGAAAAAUAUUGUUGUAUGACUCAAAGGAAUCGGCCUGGGGUGGCUCAAGUGGUCUUAUUGUUGUUAGAUCCAUCAUCUUCCGUGUGGAAUGUGGUUGUUCGCUCUCGAAAUGAUCAGCGCCAUUAACCUUGGGAUGCAUCGCCCUUAGAUUCAUCAGCUUUGACGUGGCUUCUUGCUCACCCUCCAAAUGAUGUUCGUUUCUUUAAACCUGCAAGACACCAAAUACCGUAUUAGGCGAUGAAACCCAAUAGUAGUCAUUGCAAGAAUCAUGGUCAGAAUCAAAUAGGGAUGGCCAUCAAACCGGCCUCAAAC
rnacentral:lncRNA from 1 species